rnacentral:lncRNA from 1 species
UCUGGCAGCAUGCAGAAGUUCUGGAGCUAGGGAUCCAACCCGCACCACAGCAGCGACCCAAGCCACUGCAGCGACAAUGCUGGAUCCCCAACCUGCCAUCACUUUUACUGAACUAAUAGAGUGAUAUGUAUUCGUUGCAGACAUGUUUUUAAAGUAUAGAAAAUAAUUUAAAUCAUCUGUAAACAUCCAUCCUUACCACAAUCCUCAGGGGUAGCAUUUGAUGUUCAUAGCUUGAAUCUUAUUUUGCUAGGGUAUUUAGAAAAUGUGUAUGGGUGGAAUAUAUUUGGGGGGAUAUUAGGUAGUUUUCAUUUCAUCUUUGUGCUUAGCUGUUUUCUUUUUUAAAGUAAUUAUACACUGUGUGUGUGAUUCUAGAAGGGAAGAUGAUUCAGUCACAUCCAUUAUUACCCUGUAAGAUAAACUUAUGUACGUGGAAUUUCUAGGUCCGAAGAUAUAUGUGUUUCUGAGGCAUCUGAUAAUUUUUGAUAGCUUCACGUUUGCAUCUGUUUCCUCUCCCAUCAGCGAUAUACAAAAUGUGCUCUCUCUUCUUGUCUUGAAAGCCUUGGGGAAAUUGUUUUCAUUUGUAAUUAUUCACCAUAGAGGAGUUCCCUUUGUGGCUCAGUAGUUAAGAACCCGAGGUAGUGUCCAUGAGGAUGCAAGGUUGUUUCCUGGCCUUGCUCAGUGGAUCUGGCAUUGCUGCAAGUUGUGGCAUAAGUUGCAGAUGAGGCUCAGAUCCAUGUUGCCAUGGCUGUGGAGUAGGCCUGCAGCUGCAGCUCUGAUAGAGCCUCUGGUCCAGGAACUUCCAUAAGCAGUAGGUGUGGCUGUCAAAAGAAAAAAAACUAAAAAAAUUUUUUUCAAUAAAAAAUAAGUAAAAGUAUCUAUUAUAGAAAAGUUAGAAAAUAAAGAUGUGUGAAAAUUAAGGAAAUAAUAAUUAGUGACAGAGGCACUCAGUGGUAAUGAAUGCUGAAAUUUCAGUGAUGCUCUUUCCUCUAGAAAUAUAUGAUAUGAAGUGUGUGUGUACAUGUGUGUGCCCAGUGAGGAUCACAUAGGCCAGUGCCAGACCUCUGGACCAGGAGGUGGGAAAUGGCAAAGCCCGGAUUUCACUCCUCAUAAGGGUGGGGACAUCCUGGUUGGAUUCUCCAGUCCUGCUUGUGACCCUAGAGUCAGGAGCCCUGGCUCCAAAGCCUGGCUCUGUGACUCUGAGUUGUGAGACUAUCAAUAAAUCAUUCAGGAGUUCCUGUUGUGACUCAUUGGGUUAAGGACCUGACGUUGUCUCCAAGAGAAUGCAGGUUCAAUUCUUGGCUUCACUCAGUGGGUUAAGGAUCUGGCAUUGCCACAAGCUGCUGUGUACGUUGCAUAUGUGGCUUGGAUCUGGCGUUUCUGUGGCUGUGGUGUAUAGGCCAGCAGCUGAAGCUCCAAUUCAACCCCUAGCCUGGGAACUUCCAUAUGCCAAGGGUGCAGUCAGUUAAAAAAAAAAAAAAAUCAUUCAACCUCGGAGCCUACUUUCCCCCUCUUGUUCUGGAGUAGAUGGCCUUUAGGGCCCUUUCAAACUGUCUCUUUGUCAGAUUUUAUGUUUUAAACAGGGCACCUGUCUUUCAUGACCACACUCCUUGUUUAAAGCUCUAAAUCUGAAACAUCCCCAUUACCUCCAGGAUCCGCUGCCAUUCCAUCACAG